GCGACCGGUCCCUCCAGGACCUCACUGGAUUAUUUGGGAUUGUUGGGGCCUGAAAUGUCUGAUUUCACUGUAGUGUUUCUGAAAACUAGUGACGCAUCUUGUUUUUAGGUGUUUUAUCUUUGCAGUGAAAUUGUGGGACCAGCUGAAAAUUGCAAAAAAUAAUCAAAUGCAAGUUCCAACCUUGCAAUCAAAGUGAUCAAAUACUAAAUUGCACAGGAUGUUGAUAGAUGUCAACACUGAUAUCCUUUUAGUCUUUUCAGAAUCAUGACAAAAUAAAAGUAUGAAAAACAUUGGUCAAAUUUGACUGAAGUAUAACUGUGAUUGGAUAAAGUUGUAACAUCUCAUCUUCCUGGAGGGACUGGAUUAUUUUUAUGUCCACAAAAUAUUCUGCUUUUAUGUUUUUAUUCUGAAAAGACAAUAUUCCAACCAAGUUGUUUCCAGGGUUGAUGAAAAUGACUUCCUGCCGGGUUUAGGGUUUAUCUCCAGGAGGCUUUUUGUCCACCUGGAGCUCAUACACGUCAACCAAAUAUCUAAAUGGACAUUUUCUAGAGGGCGCUGUGGAGCCAUUUUUCCACCCAUAAAUGUAACAUUUUUCCAUCUCUGAUGUUUUGUAAGUUUUCUGGGUUUUUGAGCAUGUUUGGGAUGUUUAACAUGUCCACAUGCGCUCCUGAAACUACAGUAAUAUCCACCUUUUGUUCAGAAUCAGCUGUUUACACAAAACCUGUAUCAGAUUCAGACUAUGGUCAAAUGUGGAGUAAUAGUGGAAUAUUAGUGUGCAUGUAAACGUAGUGAGUAAGGUGAAUAUUCUGUCUGCAGUUUUUAAGAAGUUCACAAAACUGUUACAUCAGAACCAGAGUCUGUUAAAAACCUGGACUAUCUCUGACGCUUUAGGCCUCGUCCACACUGAUGCAGAUGUU